rnacentral:rRNA from 1 species
CAGCCGCCGCGGUAAUACGAAGGGUGCAAGCGUUAAUCGGAAUUACUGGGCGUAAAGCGUGUGUAGGCGGUGAGUUAAGUCUGCUGUGAAAUCCCCGGGCUCAACCUGGGAAUGGCAGUGGAUACUGGCUCGCUAGAGUGUGUCAGAGGAUGGUGGAAUUCCCGGUGUAGCGGUGAAAUGCGUAGAGAUCGGGAGGAACAUCAGUGGCGAAGGCGGCCAUCUGGGACAACACUGACGCUGAGGCACGAAAGCGUGGGGAGCAAACAGGAUUAGAUACCCCCGUAGUCCCUGUCUCUUAUAC